rnacentral:misc_RNA from 1 species
UACGGAGGGAGCUAGCGUUGUUCGGAAUUACUGGGCGUAAAGCGCGCGUAGGCGGCGAACCAAGUCAGGGGUGAAAUCCCGGGGCUCAACCCCGGAACUGCCCUUGAAACUAGUUUGCUAGAAUCCUGGAGAGGCGAGUGGAAUUCCGAGUGUAGAGGUGAAAUUCGUAGAUAUUCGGAAGAACACCAGUGGCGAAGGCGACUCGCUGGACAGGUAUUGACGCUGAGGUGCGAAAGCGUGGGGAGCAAACAGG